ACCGAUUUUGCGUAGAAUUACAUCUGGCUCAACAUUACACAGAAAAACCGUAACCAUUCUCGUUUCCGUUGUAUUUGUGUAAUAUUCACAUCAAAAUAAUGUGAAUAUUACACAUAAACAACUGCAACCAAGUGGUUGCGAUGACGCUGUGUAAAAUUACACAGAAUCAAUGCCAUAUCGCAUCCUCUUAUGAUGUGAUAUGACAUCUCGCAACACUGCCCUGAUUGUUGGCGAUCGACCAUGCGCAGACAAGCAAGCUGCCAUGUUUGUUUUUCGCGUUUUGCGGUCGUCGAGUCCGUCGGGUCGUGUGUUUUUCCUGAUUUUUCCAAUAAUUAUUGGAGUUACUCUUGCUCAGUGGUACAGGAAGCGAUCUUCUCCGGCGAUGCCAACAUCAUCACCAGGAGGUCCAGAAGUGCCACAUCAAGUGAUUGUCGCACGCCUCGCAGCUGUUGCAGCACCACCAGGACACGCCAGACGUCUACGUUGAGAUGAAGUGGGAAUUUACCAGCUGGGAACCGUCGAUGUCUCGUGUCUGCCUAAGCCAAGGCCCAAGCGAUAUCAACAAAGUGCACAAACGGGGUCUAUUAUAGAGCCCGUCCUCAUGUGUCGUGACUGGAACCCUUUGUCACCAUGCUGCUUCCGCGGGAUUCCCCGUUGAGAUAGAGAUCCUGCUCUUCCAUGUGUUGAACGCGGCCCUCUAACAUUUGGAAAUGCGUUCGCGAAAAAAGCGCAGAUGGCGAACAUCAGCAUUCUGCAAGAGAGCGAGGAGCGCACCUCCAUUAAUUAUUGUUUUAACAUGCUGGCCGAGUAGGUGUAUGGUAACGAUGCCUGUAAUUUAAAGCUAAAAAAAAUUAUGUGUUUUAUGUACAAUUAGAUGAAAUUGUUUUCGACAGUUUUAGAUCUCUUCGUCAUGGGGGCUUUUUUGAAAGCUUUUGAGUUGGCCUCAAAUCCUUCCCAACCAAGCUAAAUUCUACGAUCAAGUUUCAGGAAA